GAUGAAGAACGUAGUGAAAUGCGAUAAGUAAUGUGAAUUGCAGAAUUCAGUGAAUCAUCGAAUCUUUGAACGCACAUUGCGCCCGCCAGUAUUCUGGCGGGCAUGCCUGUUCGAGCGUCAUUUCAACCCUCAGGCCCCCAGUGCCUGGUGUUGGGGAUCGGCCCAGCCUUCCUGUAAGGCCGCCGGCCCCGAAAUCUAGUGGCGGUCUCGCUGUAGUCCUCCUCUGCGUAGUAGCACAACCUCGCAGUUGGAACGCGGCGGUGGCCAUGCCGUUAAACACCCCACUUCUGAAAGUUGACCUCGGAUCAGGUAGGAAUACCCGCUGAACUUAAGCAUAUCAAAGCGGAGGA
rnacentral:misc_RNA from 1 species